GGAGACCCCAGAAAAUCUCAGUAAUGGUACCAGCAGCAAUGUGGAAGCAGCCAAAAGGUUGGCCAAACGCCUUUAUCAGCUGGACAGAUUCAAAAGAUCAGAUGUUGCAAAACACCUUGGCAAGAACAACGAAUUUAGCAAACUAGUUGCAGAAGAAUAUCUGAAGUUUUUUGAUUUUACAGGAAUGACGCUGGAUCAGUCACUCAGGUAUUUCUUUAAAGCAUUCUCUCUUGUGGGAGAAACUCAAGAACGAGAGAGAGUUUUAAUACACUUCUCCAAUAGAUAUUUUUAUUGUAACCCAGAUACCAUUGCUUCACAAGAUGGAGUCCAUUGCCUUACCUGUGCAAUAAUGCUUCUUAAUACCGAUCUACAUGGCCACAAUAUUGGAAAGAAGAUGACCUGUCAGGAGUUCAUUGCAAAUCUGCAAGGGGUAAAUGAGGGUGUUGAUUUCUCCAAGGAUCUGCUGAAAGUGUUGUGGGAUUGGAGAAGAUGCUGAAACCAAAUGGGCACCUGUCCUCAGAGAUCACAGACUACUGAGAAAUAUUGGAGGUGUCUUUCUCCAUAAAAUAAACAGUUAUUCCAUGUUGAAAUAAAAGUAUAAGCCAAAUUC
rnacentral:lncRNA from 1 species